CAAGGAUUUUCUGGCUGUCACUCAUUGCAAUUCUGAUGGUGCUAAUGAAAUGCUGGCGUCAGCCAUGUGUGCUAUCAACCUGGGAGACUGCAGCAGGUGUUGUUCCCUUUAUAAAGAUGACUAUGCACAAGCAACCAAUCUCUUCUCAUCUGGAAGUGUGGCAAGUGGUAUGUAAAUACAAAGAGGGAGAUACAAUACUAGCUGUCCUUUGCAGGUGUUAUGUGUGACCCCUCUUUUCUCAGUUCAUGGGAGCCACGGGGAACAGCAAUGUGUGGGCAGAAAAUGCAUCCAAGCUCUCUGCCACAGGAAGAGUCUGCUCUGAGAAGAGCUGAUGCCUGAACUCUGGGUUUUUCCCUGUAAAGAGUCCUAGGCUGUAUGGCUGUUUCUUAAGUAUGGGAUCUGGAUCAGAACUGUUUGUUUCCUGUAAUGAAAUGACAUUUGAAUGGACCUAAUUCUGCAGCCCGUCUAGAUUGAUUGCAAAGCGUGUGAAACAUACUUUAGCCCCAGAACUUCAGAGUUCAUUUUAAAGACUUGUCAGAGAUAAGAAACAAGCCAGAAAAUGAUAUUUACCUCUAAUUGUGUUUUGUUGUUAGGCCUUGAGCAGAGAGAGGAAGCAAGAACGCCAUUUAGGUGCACCACCCUAGCCAAAAAAAUACAUGUGUGUAUAAACAAUACAAAUUCCUCACAUCAAACCUUUAACCUUUCACUGGGUGUGUUAUAUCUUACAGCACUGUUCACUACCCACCAGCAUUGGCAGCCCUUCUUCUGAGCUCGAAGGGAAGCAUGGCCCUGACUCCCCAGAUCUUGAGAUCUCAGAAAAGAGUGAAAAUGCCUUAUGGCUCUGUGACUGAGGGGGUCAGGCCAUAGGGUAGCAUGAGAAGGCUGUUGCAAUGUGGAAAGGGAAGGUCUUCAAAUCCAGAUUUGAUCUUCAGGACUGCGCAAUUGGAGCUAUCCUGGUGUUGCAGCAUUGCUGGUACAAAGAGAAGGAGCACACACACCUCCUGGGGUGGUGCUGUGGUGAAGGCAGGGGAGGCAGCUGUCACUCUGCUGGACCACCAGGAGCAGCUGUGCUGGAUCAGAAGAAAAGUCAAAGAAAAGGCCACGUGAGUCAGCGUCCCCAUCUCUGGAAGCUGCCAGCAGUGGAUUCACAUGAAAAGUCUAUAAGGAACAGGGCAAGCCUGGAGAGGAUACCUCUUAAGAAACCUUCACUGCAUACGACCAUAGGAACUUCCUGCAGCAGAGCUUAUUUUGGCCUCUGGGAUUCCUCUAUGAUUACUCUGUGA
rnacentral:lncRNA from 1 species